AUGGUAAAACUAAGGACAUUAUUAACUGUCUUUACAUUUAUUUUGAAAGAUGAACCUCAUGAUUAUGGAAAGGGGCGUUACAUUUCCGACGAGUGCUUGUGGUGUUCGGCCAAUCACAAUGCAGUUGGCCAAUCAGAGCAGACUGUGCUUGUCAGAAGGAGGGACUUUGUAGAAAAAAUGCAUUUGAGAGAGGCGGAGCAUAGAGGACCUACAAUAAUGAGAACUGUGAUGUUGCGACUGCAGGUUUUCACUGGCUUCGAUUUUACCCCACCGGCUUUGAGACGAAAUGAAGUGGACGGAAAGCUUCUCCCUGCACUCCACAGGUACAUGCACAGAUGAAAGGAGGGAAACUAUUUAAAAACACUCUAAAAUUCAUUAGCAGCCACUCAGAGAGCUCAGCAGAGAGCGAGCGCAAGAGAGCACCUUAAGUGCUUCACCUCGUGCUGCAGAAAUAAGACAUGAGAGACAUUAAGAGCUCCAGGACACAACGACAUGUUUUCUGACCACCAAAUCAUGUGGAAUAGAGAAAAGCACAUUCCUAUUGAUUAUAACUCGGGCCGUCGUAAUGAAACACACAUUACUGCCAUGACAACAGAUGAACAAAUAGCUGGAAAGGGUGGGCUCUGAAUUUACUGCCAUUUAUGUGGCCUGUCAGAGCUUUUUCAUCAUCUAAUGGAAGACUGGGUGUUUCUCUUUCCUUUGCUUUUCCGUCUUUCUUAUCUGAUGAAGCCGAGUCGCCUUUUGGGAGUGUUAGUGUGUUGAUCCUGUGCCUUUUUUCUAGUUACACUGCAGAAAAUGAACUUUUUGUCUUCUUUUCCUGUACAAAUAUGUAAAUAUUGUUAAAUCAAGAUACAUUUAGUGAAAGAGCAAAAAUUAAAUAAGAUAUUAAUUCUUGUUUUCUAUAAAACAAAAUGUGUUAAAAUUGAGUUUAUGACUAAAACUAGAACUAGCUGAAAUAAAAUAAGUUAACAUUUUAAGUAAUGAAAAUUGUUUUUUAUUUUUUAUUUUAUUGUUUUAGUUAACUAUAAUAACCCUG
rnacentral:lncRNA from 1 species